rnacentral:misc_RNA from 1 species
GAUGAAGAACGUAGCAAAAUGCGAUAAGUAAUGUGAAUUGCAGAAUUCAGUGAAUCAUCGAAUCUUUGAACGCAUAUUGCGCUCUCUGGUAUUCCGGAGAGCAUGCUUGUUUGAGUAUCAGUAAACACCUCAACUCCCUUUUCUUUUUUGAAAUUGGAGCUGGACUUGAGUGAUCCCAACGCUUUCUUCCAAGAAAGUGGCGGGUUGCUUGAAAUGCAGGUGCAGCUGAACUUUUCUCUGAGCUAUAAGCAUAUCUAUUUAGUCUGCCUAAAAAACAGAUUAUUACCUUUGCUGCAGCUAACAUAAAGGAGACUAGUUCUUGUGCUGACUGAUGCAGGAUUCACAGAGACAGCUUCGGCUGACUUUGUAAACUCGAUCUCAAAUCAAGUAAGACUACCCGCUGAACUUAAGCAUAUCAAUAAGCGGAGGA